rnacentral:rRNA from 1 species
UGCGCAAUGGGGGAAACCCUGACGCAGCAACGCCGCGUGAAUGAUUAAGCCCUUCGGGGUGUAAAGUUCUGUCAGUAGGGACGAAACUUGACGGUACCUACAGAGGAAGCACCGGCUAACUCCGUGCCAGCAGCCGCGGUAAUACGGAGGGUGCGAGCGUUGUCCGGAAUCAUUGGGCGUAAAGAGUUCGUAGGUGGCAUGUAAAGUCCGGUGUUAAAUGCAGGAGCUCAACUUCUGUUCGGCACUGGAUACUUGCAAGCUAGAAUUCGGUAGAGGUAAAGGGAAUUCCUGGUGUAGCGGUGAAAUGCGUAGAUAUCAGGAGGAACAUCGGUGGCGUAAGCGCUUUACUGGGCCGACAUUGACACUGAGGAACGAAAGCCGGGGUAGCAAAUGGGAUUAGAUACCCCAGUAGUCCCGGCCGUAAACGAUGGAUACUAGGUGUUGCGGGUAUCGACCCCUGCAGUGCCGGAGCUAACGCGUUAAGUAUCCCGCCUGGGGAGUACGCACGCAAGUGUGAAACUCAAAGGAAUUGACGGGGACCCGCACAAGCGGUGGAACAUGUGGUUUAAUUCGAAGCAACGCGAAAAACCUUACCAGGGCUUGACAUCUAACAAAUCUUUGAGAAAUCAGAGAGUGCUCUUCGGAGAAUGUUAAGACAGGUGGUGCACGGUUGUCGUCAGCUCGUGUCGUGAGAUGUUGGGUUAAGUCCCGCAACGAGCGCAACCCUCGUCGUUAGUUGGAUAUAUCGGUAUACUGGUAUAUUCCUCUCUAGCGAGACUGCCGGUGAUAAACCGGAGGAAGGUGGGGACGACGUCAAAUCAUCAUGCCCCUUAUGCUCUGGGCUACACACGUGUUACAAUGGCUGGUACAACGAGCAGCCAACUCGCGAGAGUGAGCAAAUCUCUAAAAACCAGUCUCAGUUCGGAUUGCACUCUGCAACUCGAGUGCAUGAAGUCGGAAUCGCUAGUAAACGCAGAUCAGCACGCUGCGUUGAAUACGUUCCCGGGUCUUGUACACACCGCCCGUCACACCAUGGAAGUCGACCACGCCCGAAGUACGUGAGCUAACCAUUUGGAAGCAGCGUCCUAAGGCAGGGUUGGUGACUGGGGUGAAGUCGUAACAAGGUAGCCGUACCGGAAG